rnacentral:rRNA from 1 species
GAUGAACGCUGGCGGCGUGCCCAAUACAUGCAAGUCGAGCGAAUGGAUUAAGAGCUUGCUCUAUGAAGUUAGCGGCGGACGGGUGAGUAACACGUGGGUAACCUGCCCAUAAGACUGGGAUAACUCCGGGAAACCGGGGCUAAUACCGGAUAACAUUUUGAACCGCAUGGUUCGAAAUUGAAAGGCGGCUUCGGCUGUCACUUAUGGAUGGACCCGCGUCGCAUUAGCUAGUUGGUGAGGUAACGGCUCACCAAGGCAACGAUGCGUAGCCGACCUGGGAGGGUGAUCGGCCACACUGGGACUGAGACACGGCCCAGACUCCUACGGGAGGUAGCAGUAGGGAAUCUUCCGCAAUGGACGAAAGUCUGACGGAGCAACGCCGCGUGAGUGAUGAAGGCUUUCGGGUCGUAAAACUCUGUUGUUAGGGAAGAACAAGUGCUAGUUGAAUAAGCUGGCACCUUGACGGUACCUAACCAGAAAGCCACGGCUAACUACGUGCCAGCAGCCGCGGUAA